AUGUUAUUUGAUUUUGAUUUGUUUGAGGUUUCUGUUUCUGCUCAGCUAUCCUCCCACAGCAACCCUAGCCCUGGGCUGGUGUGUGGUAACUGCUGUGUGGUUUGUGUUCCAGAUGCAGAGGUGGCAGAGAGGGAAUUGGUGUCGUGUUGGACUCUCCUGGCCUGUGUUGCCCCAGUCUCAGUCUUGUUCAGCGCUCUCUGUGUCUUUGGACUCUGUUUCCAGUCAGAUGUUUCUGGACUACACUUUCUGUCCGCAUCACCUGUGGUCCAUUUUGUUCAGGCUGGACAAAAUGCUUCCCUGUCAUGCAACCUCACAACCAGUAAAGAAAUAAUCUGGCUCCAAAUGCGCUCAGAGGAACUUGUUAUCCUUUUAACUGUUAACAAGGCAUCACAUUUUCUAAAUACUUCAGCAGUUAAUGAGGAAAUCAUGGGUCACUUUGACACAAAGGAAAACAACAGUUUGGAGAUCAUUGUGGUGACAGAAGCAGAUUUGGGACUGUACUACUGUGCUGAUCGCUACCAUGGGACAAUGCGAUUUGGAAAAGGCAUCCGUCUGACUUUUGCAGGUAUGUGGGUGGUCAUCAUUAUAUAGUCAAAUAUGUAUUUGGCCCAGGCUAAGAAAUGCAUUAGCUUGUCUAGUGUACUGAAUAGAUACCUUUAUAAUGGGGUCUCAGAAGCUUGAGUUUCAAAUUCAGACAGAGGUCAGGUCACUGGGUACACAGGGUAUUCAGAUAUUGUCAGGUAUGCGUAAAUGGUUGUAAGGGAGUCAGGUGCAGAAGAGCAGAUAUGGUGUAGCCAACGGAGCCUUUUGUUUUGGCGAACCAAAAACACACGGCAAAGAAAACACGAAAUAACAAUACGGGUUAACAUAACCCAGCGCAACAGACUAACGUGCGCAAUACAUGAAACAGAAUAAACAAUACCACACAAAGACAUGAGGGAAACAGAGGGUUAAAUACGCAACACAUAAUGAGUGCAUUGAGAAAAUUGUGUGGGAAAACAAGACAAGACAAAUGGAAAAUGAAAAAUGGAUUGGCGAUAGCUAGAAGAACGGCGACGUCGACCGCCGAACAAGGAGAGGCAUCGACUUCGGCAGAAGUCUUGACAGAUAUAUAAAAAUGGUAUGUAUGUACUGUAUACUGAACAAAAAUAUAAACGCAACAUGUAGUGUUGGUCCCAUGUUUCAUGAGCUGAAAUUAAAGAUCCCAGAAAUGUUCCAUACACACAAAAAGCUAAUCUCUCUCCAAAUUUGUGCAGAAAUUUGUUUACAUCCUUUUACGAAGAUAAUUCAUCCACCUGACAGAUGUAGCAUAUCAAGAAGCUGAUUAAGCAGCAUGGUCAUUGCACAGGUGCACCUUGUGCUGGGGACAAUAAAAUGUGCAGUUUUGUCACACAACACAAUGCCAGAGAUGUCUAAAAUUGUAGGGGAGAGUGCAAUUAGCAUGCUGACUGCAGGAAUGUCCACCAGAGCUGUUGCCAGAGAAUUUAAUGUUAAUUUCUCUACCAUAAGCCGCCAUCCAAUGUCGUUUUAGAGAAUUUGGCAGUACGUCCAACCGGCCUCACAACCGCAGACCAUGUUUAACCACGCCAGCCCAGAACCUCCGCAUACGGCUUCUUCAUCUGCGGGAUUGUCUGAGACCAACCAUGCAUGUUGCGUUUAUAUUUGUGUUCAGUAUAUAUUCAGAUACCUGAAUAUGUGAUUGGCACGGGCGUCGUAUGAAUUGAACCAAAACGCAGCCGGAAUGUGAAUACACAUCUUCUUUAAUGAAGGAAACCGUAAACACUAAACAAAACAACAACCAUCGACGAGAACGAGUCCUGUCAGGUGCAACUAACACUAAACAGGAAACAACUAC
rnacentral:lncRNA from 8 species